AAAACAAGUCGGUGCGCUGGGGACCCGGGGCCAGGGCCGCCUUACUCCGGCCUAGCCCCGCGGCCCUCGGUGCGGGCCCCAGGGCAUGCUCGGGACCCCCCGCGGCUCCAGCCCAGACGCCCCGGCCUCAGGUCUCGGCCCCCGCUUGGGGCCCCGGCCGUGCGGCCGGAGGGAGCGGCCGGAUGGAGCGGAGGAUGAAAGCCGGAUACUUGGACCAGCAAGUGCCCUACACCUUCAGCAGCGUGAGCGCCGCGCCGGCCUCCACGCCCGCCCCGCCCCGCACCCAGCCCCUACUCUCACCACAGCCCCCCUCCCCGCAGUCCCAGCGGAGUCCUGGGCUGCCCCGCCCCUGAGUCACCCGAGGACCCCAACCUCGUCCCCCAGACUAAGCGCCUCAGGGUGACUCGGGGCAUUCUCCCCGCUUCUCGCAGAAAUCGCCCGGAAAUGGGAGCUUGCGCGAAGCGCUGAUCGUCCCGCAGGGGAAGCUCAUGGACCCGGGCUCCCUGCCGCCCCUCGACUCUGAAGAUCUCUUCCAGGAUCUAAGUCACUUCCAGGAGACGUGGCUCGCUGAAGCUCAGGUACCAGACAGUGAUGAGCAGUUUGUUCCUGAUUUCCAUUCAGAAAACCUAGCUUUCCACAGCCCCACCACCAGGAUCAAGAAGGAGCCCCAGAGUCCCCGCACAGACCCGGCCCUGUCCUGCAGCAGGAAGCCGCCACUCCCGUACCACCAUGGCGAGCAGUGCCUUUACUCCAGUGCCU
rnacentral:sRNA from 1 species